ACGAACGCUGGCGGCGUGCUUAACACAUGCAAGUCGAACGGAAAGGCCCUGCUUUUGUGGGGUGCUCGAGUGGCGAACGGGUGAGUAACACGUGAGUAACCUGCCCUUGACUUUGGGAUAACUUCAGGAAACUGGGGCUAAUACCGGAUAGGAGCUCCUGCUGCAUGGUGGGGGUUGGAAAGUUUCGGCGGUUGGGGAUGGACUCGCGGCUUAUCAGCUUGUUGGUGGGGUAGUGGCUUACCAAGGCUUUGACGGGUAGCCGGCCUGAGAGGGUGACCGGCCACAUUGGGACUGAGAUACGGCCCAGACUCCUACGGGAGGCAGCAGUGGGGAAUAUUGCACAAUGGGCGGAAGCCUGAUGCAGCAACGCCGCGUGCGGGAUGACGGCCUCGGGUUGUAAACCGCUUUCGCCUGUGACGAAGCGUGAGUGACGGUAAUGGGUAAAGAAGCACCGGCUAACUACGUG
rnacentral:rRNA from 1 species